rnacentral:rRNA from 1 species
AUUGAACGCUGGCGGCAGGCCUAACACAUGCAAGUCGAGCGGAUGAAGGGAGCUUGCUCCUGGAUUCAGCGGCGGACGGGUGAGUAAUGCCUAGGAAUCUGCCUCGUAGUGGGGGAUAACGUCCGGAAACGGGCGCUAAUAACGCAUACGUCCUGAGGGAGAAAGUGGGGGAUCUUCGGACCGCACGCUAUCAGAUGAGCUGAGGUCGGAUUAGCUAGUUGGUGGGGUAAGGGCCUACCAAGGAGACGAUCCGUAACUGGUCGGGGUGGAGGAUCAGUCACAGUGGAAGUGGAACACGGGCCGGACUCCUAGGGGGGGGCGCGGUGGGGAAUUUUGGACAAGGGGCGAAAGCCUGACCCCGCCAGGCCGGGUGGGGGAAGAGGGUUUUCGGUUGGUAAAGCACUUUAAGUUGGGAGGAAGGGAAUUAGGUUAAAACCUGGCUUUUUGGGCGUUACCAACAGAAUAAGCCCCGGCUAACUGCGG